UGUGACAUACCUAUAAUUUGCCUCGGCGGACUCAACGACGGUGCUCCGAGAAAUCGGGCGCCGCUCGCUGCCAGAGGAACCCCAAACUCUAUGUAUUCUUGUGGAUCUUCUGAGUAAAACAAAACAAAUAAAUCAAAACUUUCAACAACGGAUCUCUUGGUUCUGGCAUCGAUGAAGAACGCAGCGAAAUGCGAUAAGUAAUGUGAAUUGCAGAAUUCAGUGAAUCAUCGAAUCUUUGAACGCACAUUGCGCCCGCCAGUAUUCUGGCGGGCAUGCCUGUUCGAGCGUCAUUUCAACCCUCAAGCCCCCGGGCUUGGUGUUGGGGAUCGGCGAUAGUCGCCGUCCCCCAAAUCUAGUGGCGGUCUCGCUGUAGCCUCCAUUGCGUAGUAGCUAACACCUCGCAACUGGAACGCGGCGCGGCCAAGCCGUUAAACCCCCAACUUCUGAAUGUUGACCUCGGAUCAGGUAGGAAUACCCGCUGAACUUAAGCAUAUCAAUA
rnacentral:rRNA from 1 species